AGAGUUUGAUCAUGGCUCAGGAAGAACGCUGGCGGCGUGCCUAAUACAUGCAAGUCGAGCGGCAGCACGGUCUUCGGACUGGUGGCGAGCGGCGGACGGCUGAGUAACGCGUAGGAAUAUACCCAAGUGAGGGAUAACUGCCCGAAAGGGUGGCUAAUACCGCAUGUGGUCUUCGGGACUAAAGGCCCUUCGGGGCGCUUUGGGAAUAGCCUGCGUAAGAUUAGCUAGUUGGUGAGGUAAUGGGCUCACCAAGGCGACGAUCUUUAGCUGGUCUGAGAGGAUGACCAGCCAGACUGGAACUGAGACACGGUCCAGACUCCUACGGGAGGCAGCAGUAGGGAAUUUUCCACAAUGGGCGAAAGCCUGAUGGAGCAACGCCGCGUGCAGGAUGAAGGCCCUCGGGUCGUAAACUGCUUUUAUGUGCGAAGAAUAUGACGGUAACACAUGAAUAAGGGUCGGCUAACUACGUG
rnacentral:rRNA from 1 species